rnacentral:rRNA from 1 species
CCUACGGGAGGCAGCAGUAGGGAAUAUUGCACAAUGGGGGGAACCCUGAAGCAGCAACGCCGCGUGGAGGAUGAAGGUCUUCGGAUUGUAAACUCCUUUUGGUAGAGAAGAUAAUGACGGUAUCUAACGAAUAAGCACCGGCUAACUCCGUGCCAGCAGCCGCGGUAAUACGGAGGGUGCAAGCGUUACUCGGAUUCACUGGGCGUAAAGAGCGCGUAGGCGGGGUAGCAAGUCAGAUGUGAAAUCCUAGGGCUUAACCAUAGAACUGCAUUUGAAACUGCUUUUCUGGAGUAGGGGAGAGGUAGGUGGAAUUCUUGGUGUAGCGGUGAAAGGCGUAGAGAUCAAGAGGAAUACUCAUGGCGAAGGCGACCUGCUAGAACAUAACUGACGCUGAUGCGCGAAAGCGUGGGGAGCAAACAGGAUUAGAUACCCCAGUAGUC